UGCCCAGACAGUCUUGAUCUUCUGACCUUGUGAUCUGCCUGCCUCGGCCUCCCAAAGUGCUGGGAUUACAGCUUCCUAAUUCUUUAAAAUCACCUACAACAGGGGAACAGGGGUUGUUUGGCCUCUCAGCCAAAUCUGAUCUGAGACUUGUUGACUUGUUUUUGUGCAGUCCUUAAGCUAAGAAUUUAUGUAUAUGUUAUGCAUGUAAUACAUAAAAAUAACCUGUAAAUAUUAACUAUAUUUUAAAUAUUUUUAACUGGUUGAAGAAAAAUCACAUCAAAUGUAUCAUGAUGUGAAAAUUAUAUAAAAUUCAAUUUUUAGUGUUCAUAAAUAUUUUUAGUCCUUAAGCUAAGGAGGUAUGGAAGCAUGUGAAAGAGACAGAGAACCAGAAUAAGAGGGUGGCGUUGUGGUUGUGGUUGCUG